GAUCAUGGCUCAGGAUGAACGCUAGCGACAGGCUUAACACAUGCAAGUCGGAGGGGCAGCACAGGUAGCAAUACCGGGUGGCGACCGGCGCACGGGUGAGUAACGCGUAUGCAACUUACCUAUCAGAGGGGGAUAACCCGGCGAAAGUCGGACUAAUACCGCAUGAAGCAGGGGCCCCGCAUGGGGGAUAUUUGCUAAAGAUUCAUCGCUGAUAGAUAGGCAUGCGUUCCAUUAGG
rnacentral:rRNA from 1 species